rnacentral:rRNA from 1 species
UACGUAGGGGGCAAGCGUUGCCCGGAUUUAUUGGGCGUAAAGGGCGCGUAGGCGGCCACGCACGUCCGUUGUGAAAUCGCCCGGCUCAACUGGGCGGGGUCGGCGGAUACGGCGUGGCUGGAGCAAGCUAGGGGGCAAUGGAAUUCCCGGUGUAGUGGUGGAAUGCGUAGAUAUCGGGAGGAACACCAGUGGCGAAGGCGGCUCACUGGCCCGGUACUGACGCUGAGGUGCGAAAGCGUGGGGAGCAAACAGG